UAUGUUGUAUGCCAUCAUGGAAGAUGUGCACUGCAUGCAGUUCGUGGAACAUUUGAAUGGUGAUCAUAUUGAGCCUUGUAUAAUUGACAAUAGAUGUCGGCACGUAUUGUUCGGAAACUUGAUGUGUGUUGCCUCAUUUGGCAUUUACACAUUUCCUAAUCACACAUUCGUCACUUCUGAAGUGCCACAAUCCCCCUGUCAGUGACUUCUGUUACUAAAUUUAUUUUCUUUUGAAAUCGAGACUGCAUGUUCCCCUGUAUAUGUUCACCGAAUUUUGUUACAUUUUGUCCAAUAUGUGAUGUACUGGAAGGUUCUGAAUACUUCAUGUUAUUUUAUGAUCACC
rnacentral:lncRNA from 1 species